rnacentral:rRNA from 1 species
AGUGAACGCUGGCGGUAGGCCUAACACAUGCAAGUCGAACGGCAGCACAGUAAGAGCUUGCUCUUACGGGUGGCGAGUGGCGGACGGGUGAGGAAUACAUCGGAAUCUACUUUUUCGUGGGGGAUAACGUAGGGAAACUUACGCUAAUACCGCAUAUGACCUACGGGUGAAAGCAGGGGAUCUUCGGACCUUGCGCGAUUGAAUGAGCCGAUGUCGGAUUAGCUAGUUGGCGGGGUAAAGGCCCACCAAGGCGACGAUCCGUAGCUGGUCUGAGAGGAUGAUCAGCCACACUGGAACUGAGACACGGUCCAGACUCCUACGGGAGGCAGCAGUGGGGAAUAUUGGACAACGGGCGCAAGCCUGAUCCAGCCAUACCGCGUGGGUGAAGAAGGCCUUCGGGUUGUAAAGCCCUUUUGUUGGGAAAGAAAAGCAGCAGGUUAAUACCCCGCUGUUCUGACGGUACCCAAAGAAUAAGCACCGGCUAACUUCGUG